GAUCACUCUGCCAGACGGACGGCUUAGCGGGGCCGGGCGGAAAGAGGAGCACGCACGGAUGACACAGGAGAGAAUGAGGCUACAGCAGUCUGCAGGUCAUCACGCAGCGCUGCUUCUCGUUCGUACCAGUGAUAAGCUUUUCCAGGGCAGACUGAAAGAAAAUUAGUGAGUCCUCAAAGGCGGGGCGAGGCCAGCGGAGUCCAGGGAGGAGGAAAGCAGGGCGGGACGGUGCGUGCAAGGCACUGGAGAUUAGUGAAUGGUGUGCCUUGAGUGGAAAAUAGGCACAUAAUGGGUGACGUGAAGGCUUUCAGAAAACGCUGAAGAAAAUGCUUUUAAAAAUAGGUUCUUUCAUGGCGCUGUGUGUGUUGAGGUGAAUGAGGCGCAGGAGUAAAGGGAAUUCUUCAUGAGGCAGCAUCUGCUGACACGCCACGUCCGUUGCUGCUGCUGCUGCUGCUAGACGCUCGGAGUGAGGAACUGAGGGGGAGGUCGGUUAGGUGAACAUUCGUGAAAGUUAGCACGAACAUCCGAGGGGUGAGGUUUGGUUCUUUUCUGAAGAAAGACUGAGACUGAGUGACUAUGAUGAUGAGACAACAAUCAUCUUAACAAACUAAUGAGUUGGUGGAAGUGUUAUGAUCAAACGAUGAAACAAGCGUUUCUUUCUUCCACUCAGAACAUUAUCGAUUAAAAAGAAAAAAAAAAGAAAAAAAGUAUUUACUGGAAUGGAGACAUGAGGGUGGCAAGGAAGUGCCUGAACUGAGGCUUGUGGAGUGGCGCUCAGUUGGUGAGGGUCGCAGGAUGGAGCUCAGUUGAAUAACAAGUCAGAAUAUUUUUUUUUUUUUACCGUCCCAGUUUUUUCAGAUGUUUUAUGCGGCAUUAUUGCAUGGUUGUUGAUUGUAUUUAUUAAAGGCACUGUGUACAGAUACUUUGUAAUGUGCAUUGUGAUGGUAAUUAUAUGGUGCUCUUCCUCCAACCAUGCUUAUAGUGCUGUAAGAUAAGCGUUUAGAAUAACAAAACGAGAUGAUUGCUCCUGAAGAGUCCAUGUUGAUUAACAGUGAGUUCCAACUAUUGUUGCCUUAUCAUUGAAUAUCAUGAUUCUUCCUCUAGAAGGGAACUUAGGCCUACUCUUAAUUGCCUGUGUCAAGUUUCUUUAAUAUCACUUUACUGAUAUCUCUAGAGCUCAUUGAAAAAUUUACCAUUGAUCAUUGUCUGAAUUAAUUUCACAUUUUCUUUCUCUGGAGAGCCACAACAAAGUGCUGAGCUGCCAUUUAAUUCGCAGGUGGAGCUCGAUAUCUUGAGCACGAAGCCUCGGAAUCGGUAAACUGAUGAUUGUGAUUAAUGAAGUAUUACAUCUUGCUUCUCUUUCCGGUGCCAGUGUAUUUGAAUAUUGUGUGUAAGUUAGGAAAGUCUGCACAAGAGUGUGUUAAAAUGUAAAAAUCCGUAAAAGAUAAAAAUGAAUUAGUUUCGAGAGUGAGUCGAGGCUUCAUCUCCUGCAUGAACUAAUCGACCCCUGCCGGCGGCUUCAGUGUUCAGUCAAUCUCUCGGCAGCGAAAGGCUCAGUCAUGUUUUCCAGAAUAGUUGUAAACCACGAGUCCGAUCGGGAGUGAGUGGAUGCUCUGUGAGGUGGCGGUUGAUGCCACGGGGAAGAGUGGGUAGUGAGCGGGCCACCCUUGUCCUGAGUUCCGGGAGCACCACACUCACACCCUCCGCUUCCUCAGCCCUGGUCCCUCUCAUCCCCAGGAAGCUUGGUGGCUAGCAGAGGUGGCGAGGACGAUCCACACCUGCUUCCAUGCAGCGCUGUGGGAUUAGUGGGCAGUAGUGACGCUCCUCAGCUCUGAACUGCACCCCACACUGUCACUGUUGCUUAUCUCAUGUUUGUAUUCAUGGUGUUCGUCUUGCUUCACCACGCCUUCAUGAGCUGGACUUAAACCACAUUUCAUUUAUUUAUUUAUUUAUUUAUUCAUUAUUUAUUUAUUUUUUUUUGUUUUACUUGCGUGUUGCAUUACAUUACGUUUCUCUUUUAACCAAACGACAUGUUUUCGCCGCAAAAAGAAACGCACUGAUGGACACCCGGACACUGAGUCCUCACAAGCCCCUUUUGCCCCCUGCUCAACUGCGAGUGGAGGAUUAUCGGCCGAUCUUUGUGCGCCUCUCGGCUUGGGGGUUCUUACCUGGUGGUAACAGGAAGAGUGGGGAAAUUACGUAAUAACCACUGUACUUGUUUGAAACAAUCUUCUUAGUCGUGCUUUGGAAAAUAAAUGCACUUGCUCCUAGUGUUUUCUUUGACUUUUUUUCUUAUUUUAAUACUUUAUAUGAAUGAAUGAUAGACCUAGACUGUAUGA